GUUGAACGCUGGCGGCAUGCCUUACACAUGCAAGUCGAACGGCAGCAUGAUCUAGCUUGCUAGAUUGAUGGCGAGUGGCGAACGGGUGAGUAAUACAUCGGAACGUGCCCUGUAGUGGGGGAUAACUAGUCGAAAGAUUAGCUAAUACCGCAUACGACCUGAGGGUGAAAGUGGGGGACCGCAAGGCCUCAUGCUAUAGGAGCGGCCGAUGUCUGAUUAGCUAGUUGGGGAGGUAAAGGCUCACCAAGGCGACGAUCAGUAGCUGGUCUGAGAGGACGAUCAGCCACACUGGGACUGAGACACGGCCCAGACUCCUACGGGAGGCAGCAGUGGGGAAUUUUGGACAAUGGGGGCAACCCUGAUCCAGCAAUGCCGCGUGUGUGAAGAAGGCCUUCGGGUUGUAAAGCACUUUUGUCCGGAAAGAAAUCGCACUUACUAAUAUUAGGUGUGGAUGACGGUACCGGAAGAAUAAGGACCGGCUAACUACGUGCCAGCCGCCGCCGUAAUAC
rnacentral:rRNA from 1 species